UCGUAAUAGUUCGAUUAAUUUAUUAAUGUUGAUUUAAUGACGAUUACAAAAAAUUCAAACACAUUAAUAAGUUCAAAUGAAAGGUGUAAACUCACAAAUAAGGAUACGUGGUCAUCAAAAGCAUAAUAAGACCCUUUUCCUUACUCUCCUGACAAAUUAAUACAAAAAUCAAUUAAUUUAGACACUUGACAAAAUACAAAAUCAGUUAAUCUAAACACUUGACAAAAUACAAAAUCAAACAAAAACAGCUGAAAAAUAUCCAAAAAUAAAAACAACCAAAAUCGAAAACAAAAUCCGAAACAAGUAGAGUCUAUUACUCGAAAGAAAGAAAUUGCGGGAGAAAAAUCGUGGUCGUCGGCCGUUGUCUGCGCCAGGUGACCCGCCUCCGCAGUGCCGUUGUGAUUUAUGCAAAUGGGCAGGUCGCUGAAUGCUGACCUGCAUAUACCCCGCGUAUGACGCCAAAGCUAUUCAUUUUGGAAGAUUUCGACGAUUUGUGACCAGCAGUAUUAUCAGUGUCAUGGCGCAACCGCUGCUUGUCGUCCUGGAUGUGCAUCUCUUCGUCGUCGCUUUCCUCCAAGGACAGGUCCAUGACCUAACGUGCAAGGAGGUUGGAUGGCAGAUCUGAGCUGAUGGGCGGUGGAAGCGCGAGUGGAAGCGGCAGAUCUGAGCUGACGGGCGAUGGAGAUGGCGAGUGGAAUCGGCGGAUCUGGGCCGGCGGGCGAUGGAGGUGGCGAGUGGAGGCGGCGGACCGAGUUGCUGGGCAAUGGAGGCGCCGAACCGUGCUGCUGGGCGAGUGAAAACGGCGAGAAUUGGUUCCGUGGGAUUGAUCGAGCUACAGUAUUAGUUCGAGAGUUCUUCACACUGUCAUAUUAAAUCGCAAAUGAAACUUCCUGAAAAUCUCAUAAUCUGUAAGACGUGUAAUUCCAAACGACGCAUUCGAUUUCAACACAUGACCAUUUGCACCUGUCUCUCUUCCGUCAAAUGUUGUGAGUGUCGG
rnacentral:lncRNA from 1 species